rnacentral:rRNA from 1 species
AGGGUCACGGCUUGAGCGGCCUGGAGCCCCCGUCGGGCAGAUCUUGUUGUUAGUGCAAUUACUCCAGCGAGGACUUGGAGGGCUGACGUGGAGAAGGGUUUCUUGUGAACAGCUGUUGCACAAGAGUCAGUCGACCUUAAGCCCUAGGUGAAAUCCCACGUUGAUGGGGCGAAAGGGAAUCCGGUUCCUAUUCCGGAACCCGGUAGCGGAACCGUCCAAAUCGGGCCCUMGUGAGUGCUCGUCGGGGCAACCCAAAGAGACCCGGAGACGCCGUCGGGAGAUCCGGAGAGAGUUUUCUUUUCUCUAUAAGCGUUCGAGUUCCCUGGAAUCCUCUAGCAGGGAGAUAGGGUUUGGAACGCGAAGAGCACCGCAGU